UGAAGCCGCAAUUACAAUCAGAGGAACCUACUUCCCUCCUGGCAAAGAACCCAAGGAAGGCGAGCGGAAGAUUUACUUGGCAAUUGAAAGUGCCAAUGAACUGGCUGUGCAGAAAGCAAAGGCAGAAAUCACCAGGCUCAUAAAAGAAGAGCUGAUCCGGCUGCAAAAUUCAUACCAACCAACAAAUAAAGGAAGAUACAAAGUCUUAUAGACAUCCGGAAAAAAGAUUUUUACCUGUGCUGGUCUAUGAUGUCAGCUCUCUGGAGCUAAAGACAGCUACGUUUCCCUUACCAGAAAAUGAUGCAUCCUGUUGCCAGCAGUAAUCCAGCUUUCUGUGGGCCUGGCAAGCCUUCCUGCCUCAAUGAAGAUGCCAUGAGAGCUGCUGAUCAGUUUGACAUAUAUUCCUCCCAGCAAAGCAAAUACAGCCACACAGUCAACCACAAACCAAUGGUUUGUCAGAGGCAAGACCCAUUAAAUGAAACACACUUGCAGACUACAAGUGGCAGAAGCAUAGAAAUAAAAGAUGAACU
rnacentral:lncRNA from 1 species